ensembl:lncRNA
UGGGAUCCCCUUUUUGUUUUUUUUUUUUCCUCAUGCGGGGAGAGCAAACCCGCCGCUUAUAUUUAAAAAGAAAAAAAAAUGGAGAAAAAAAAAUUAAUAUUAUGAAGUCCCCACUGAAAUUUUGGGGGGGGAAACAAAAGGGUCCUGCGGACAAAGCGAGCUUGGGAGCCUGGUGCAUUUUAGGGACUGAUCGUGCGAAGCGUUUUUAACGACCUGUUGUUUCGAUUUGUGACGGUUUUAAUGAUGUUGCAUCAAGAUAAAAACUUAUAUUCAACUAGAGCCUGGGUCGGGUUUUCUCUCAACUUUUGGGGUGUCCUGCAGCAUCGGGGUUUUGUUUGGGGGUUGUUUAUCCUUCCCUUUGAUUCCCAGUGCUGAUGCAAAACCUUCCCCAAGCUCCUGCUGAGAUAAGUCCGGUGUUGAGCGGCGCCUUUGGCUUUUCACUUUUCCUGCCUUUUUUGUUUUUGUUUUGUUUUUAUUUUUUUUUUCAGCCGGGUUCUGGGUGUUUUUGGUUUUCUUUCCCGGCUGGAGGGUCCCGGAGACCUUCAUCCCUGCAGCUGCUGGAAAUUCAGGGGAUCCAGUUUGGUUCCAGCUUGUCCGACACCGUCCCGAUGAGCCGCUGGCUUGAUUUUCAACGGCUCAGCCGUGGCAGGUCCCCAAGCUGUGGCGUGUUUCCCUCCUGCCGCUUCCAUAAAUCUCUGCUGUGCUCAUGUAACCUCCUGGCUUUUCCUUGGAUUUGUGGGGUGCCUGCAACUCCACAACCCUCCGGUCUUGCCUUUUCUGCACCCCCAAACCUCACUCCCCCUUUUUCUUCAUCUUUUUCUGGCUUUUUGGUGUCUUACUGCGUGACCAGAGGGUUUUUGAUCAGCCUGAGCUCAGCUCAAUAUCGGACUUGGAUUUUGGGAUGGGAGCUGGGAUGCAAUGAGGGACAUUUGUCCCAGAGCUGGACAAAAUGGGGGUUUUGGAAGGUGGGGGAUUCACCCCUUAUUCCUGUAUUUAUUUAGAUCUGGGGAAACUUUGCAAACCUGGCUCUAAAUAAAAUAAUCCCGUGCAGCCGCUCAUGGGACAUUGCAUCCUCGAAUUUUUUUGGAGGUGAAUCACAGCUUCCUAGUGGGUUAUUCCCUAAUUUUCCUCCCAAUAUCCCUUUCUCUUGACGCAUUUUUUUGUGUGGGGAGAACGCAUCCAGCUGCAUGGCCGUGACCAAAUAAGAAUUUGGGGAAGAAAAGAUAUUUGGGACUGGUACCUUCCCCAAACCAGCCUGGGGAUCUCAGUCCCUGCUGUCUAAAUCCUCACUCCCAGAUCUUUCCAUGAUCCCCAUUCCCUGUGGGCACAUCCUGGGGGUCACUGCCCCUUUUCCCAGCUGCACUGGGGCUGGUUGGGAAAGCAGAGCUGGCUCUGGGGUCUGUGUGGGGUUUUUUGGAGCGCUGUCCCAUGGGGUGUCACCCCAGGACACAGCGCAGUGCCCGUGAGGUGACCGCGGUCGUCUCCUGCUCCGGAAUACUUUCCCCACUUCCAUGGCAGAGCGAAAGCAGCAAUUUAGGAUCCCAGAUUUUCCCCUUUACCCUCUCCUUUUAGUUUUAUUUUGGGGUGCAACAACCUUGGAAAGAUCCCAGAUUGUUUUGGCAAUGCAGGUAUUAUCCCUUCCUCUUUAUCCCAAAGGGGUCCCCAAUUCUGUGCGCCAUUGUGAUUUAUUUUUUUAGUUCCCCGCUGAUUUUUUUUUUCCUUGAAAUCCCCUAAUAGCUGGAGCAGGACUCAGGGUGUUGCUGCCACCCAUUAACGUUGGUCCUCCAUGGGAGACCCCAUCCCACGGGUUUUUUUGGGAGAUUUGAGGGUGGAAUUGCACCCUUCUGCCCCAUCACCCUGACUUUCUCCGAGCUCCUGAAGCUCCCAGCUUUCUGGCAUUUGGCUUUGCUGAAUAAAUAAUAAAAACUAAAGUGGUUUAAGCCUAAAUUUGGCUGGUUUAUGACUCGUCUCCUUUUUGGGGCUGAGCCUCCCCUGCACCCCGGGCUCUUGGGGGCGUCUGGGUGGUCCCUGCUUGGUUCUGCGGGUUUUUUUUUGGGAUGGCUGCAAUAUUUGCGGGAUCGUGUGUGUGCAUUCCAAGCGUGUUGGCACAUGUUUUGGGAUGGGGACGUGGCGGGACAGGGUCAUGUGUCACCCGUGUGCCGCAGGACUGCGGGCAUCCGCAGGUGCCACCGUGUCUGCUGCAGGAGGACGUGUGGCGUUCCGGGAUCACUCUGACCUGGUUUCAAAGCUUUUCCCGCAUUUUUCCUGAUUCCUGAGUGGGACUGGAGCCUCCUUCUCCAUCUUCCUGCUGCUUUUUGGGGUCUGCACGGGGUUGCAGCAGGACUUC